UACGUAGGGACCAAGCGUUGUUCGGAUUUACUGGGCGUAAAGGGCGCGUAGGCGGCAAUUCAAGUCAUCUGUGAAAUCUCCGGGCUUAACUCGGAACGGUCAGAUGAUACUGCUUUGCUAGAGUGCGGAAGGGGCAAUCGGAAUUCUUGGUGUAGCGGUGAAAUGCGCAGAUAUCAGGAGGAACACCGGUGGCGAAGGCGGGUCUCUGGGCCGUAACUGACGCUGAGGAGCGAAAGCGUGGGGAGCGAACAGG
rnacentral:rRNA from 1 species